rnacentral:lncRNA from 1 species
AUUUGAUGCAGAUUCUUGUUUUUUGCCGAGGCAGACUUAUGUUUUGCCGAGACACAACCUGUGGGAGGACACGUGAUGUUUGGAGAGAGUAUAAAGAAUAUUCAGUGGACAGUGACCAGGCCCUUGCAUAGCUAGCCUUGCAACACUUCAUUGGUCUUACAUCUUGGAUGAUCUUCACUUCACUAAGAGGGGUGGCAGAGAACUUCUCAAGGCAUUCUGGCUGGUCCUGGUUGUUCCCACACUUUACUAGUACACUUUAUUAACUGUCUGAUAUGUCCAAAAGGUCAAUUUACCAUGUUAUCAUAAUUUGGGGAUAAAAUACUAUGUUAUGUCUAUGAAAGAUUAUCUUCAUUUGUCGGGAGCCUUAAGUUGGGCAGCAUUUCUCUUAUACUUCUCUUCGAUCUCUCUGAUGUUUUCCAGAUCUUCAGACAUGAAUUCUUCGUACUCUCUGUCGGCUUUAGCAUUUUCCUCUUCAAGAUGUUUCUAGUGGAAACAAUGCACAGUUUUUAAU